rnacentral:rRNA from 1 species
GACGAACGCUGGCGGCGUGGAUUAGGCAUGCAAGUCGAACGGUAUCAUCCUUUCGGGGGUGAGAGAGUGGCGAACUGGUGAGUAACACGUAGGUUAUCUACCCUCAAGACGGGGACAACCCAGGGAAACUUGGGCUAAUACCGGAUGUGAGCAACUUUUUAGUUGUUUGAAAGGUGGCGUAAGCUGUCGCUUGGGGAUGAGCCUGCGUCCUAUUAGUUAGUUGGUGAGGUAACGGCUCACCUAGGCAAUGAUAGGUAGGCGGCCUUAACGGGUGGUCGCCCACACUGGGAUUGAGAUACGGCCCAGACUCCUACGGGAGGCAGCAGUCGAGAAUAGUCUACAAUGGUCGGAAGACUGAUAGUGCGACGCCGCGUGAACGAUGAAUCCCUUCGGGGUGUAAAGUUCUUUUAUAUGUGAGCAGUGCUUCUUAUAUUAACAGUAUGGGGAAGAGAUAUUAGCAUAUGAAUAAGCAACGGCUAAACUCCGUGCCAGCAGCCGCGGUAAUC